GGGAGAGAGAGAUUGGGAGAGAAGGAGAGGGAAAAGAGAUUGGGAGAGAAGGAGAGGGAAAAGAGAUUGGGAAAGAAUGAGAAGGAAAGAGAUUGGGAGAGAAGGAGAGGGAAAGAGAUUGGGAGAGAAGGAGAGGGAAAGAGAUUGGGAGAGAAGUAGAGGGAAAAGAGAUUGGGAGAGAAGGAGAAGGAAAGAGAUUGGGAGAGAAGGAGAGGGAAAUGAGAUUGGGAGAGGAGAGGAAAAGAGAUUGUGAGAGAAGGAGAAGGAAAGAGAUUGGGAGAGAUGGAGAGGGAAAGAGAUUGGGAGAGAAGGAGAAGGAAAGAGAUUGGGAGAGAAGUAGAGGGAAAAGAGAUUGGGAGAGAAGGAGAAGGAAAGAGAUUGGGAGAGAAGGAGAAGGAAAGAGAUUGGGAGAGAAGGAGAGGGAAAGAGAUUGGGAGAGAAGGAGAGGGAAAGAGAUUGGGAGAGAAGUAGAGGAAAAGAGAUUGGGAGAGAAGGAGAGGGAAAAGAGAUUGGGAGAGAAGGAGAAGGAAAGAGAUUGGGAGAGAAGGAGAGGGAAAGAGAUUGGGAGAGAAGGAGAGAGGAAAGAGAUUGGGAGAGAAGGAGAGGGAAAUGAGAUUGGCAGAGAAGGAGAGGAAAAGAGAUUGGGAGAGAAGGAGAGGGUAAGAGAUUGGGAGAGAAGGAUGAGGUAAAUAAACCAGAUGGUCAUUAUUGGCAUGCAUUUCUCUCUUAUAUCUGUUUUCUGCUGUUUAUCAUGUAGGGAAAAGUUUAACCCUCUUAUAACCUCUGUCCCUAUCUGACCCCGACCUAUCCCAGAACCUCCUUAUUCUAUCAUCACUUUCUUCUCUCUCUUCUUCCCACCCAUCUCUGCAUUCCUCUAAAACACCAUCCCUGUCUUUCCUAAUCCCCUCAACCAACUGACAUGAUUGAAUGCACACGCCCACACACACACACACACUGCUGCCUAAACUAGCUCAUCCCCCCCCUCACACACACAGGUCCAAUUCAGACACAGGAGGGUGAACAGGGUCUAUUAAAGCCCCAGUCUAUUGAUUUACAUGCCACACUAUGACAAAGCCCCAGUCUACACAGCCUGACCAACCAGUAGCUACAGACCACAUAUAGACCUCAGGGUGAGCAUGGCUGUGUGUGUGUGGGGGGGGGGGGCUAGUUUAGGCAGCAGUGUGUGUGUGCGUGUGUGUACAGCCCGCUAACCAGCCAGUAUGUAUGUGUGAACACCCCCUGCAGCCACCACCAGUAUCAUACAUCCCAGUCUCUACUGUAGACAGACUAUAUGAACUGUGAUCUAUAGACAGACUAUAUUAACUGUGGUCUAUACACCAGUAUCAUACAUCCCAGUCUCUACUGUAGACAGACUAUAUGAACUGUGAUCUAUAGACAGACUAUAUGAACUGUGAUCUAUAAACAGACUAUAUGAACUGUGAUCUAUACACCGGUAUCAUACAUCCCAGUCUCUACUGUAGACAGACUAUAUGAACUGUGAUCUAUACACCGGUAUCAUACAUCCCAGUCUCUACUGUAGACAGACUAUAUGAACUGUGAUCUAUAGACAGACUAUAUUAACUGUGGUCUAUACACCAGUAUCAUACAUCACAGUCUCUACUAUAGACAGACUAUAUGAACUGUGGUCUAUACACCGGUAUCAUACAUCCCAGUCUCUACUAUAGACAGACUAUAUGAACUGUGAUCUAUAGACAGAGUAUAUUAACUGUGGUCUAUACACCAGGAUCAUACAUCCCAGUCUCUACUGUAGACAGACUAUAUUAACUGUGGUCUAUAAACAGACUAUAUGAACUGGGAUCUAUAAACAGACUAUAUGAACUGUGAUCUAUAAACAGACUAUAUGAACUGUGAUCUAUAAACAGACUAUAUGAACUGUGAUCUAUAAACAGACUAUAUGAACUGUGGUCUGUAAACAGACUAUAUGAACUGUGGUCUAUAGACAGACUAUAUGAACUGUGGUCUAUAGACAGACUAUAUGAACUGUGGUCUAUAGACAAACGAUGUAAACUGUGAUCUAUAGACAGAUGAUAUGAACUGUGGUCUAUAAACAGACUAUGUGAACUGUGAUCUAUAGACAGACUAUAUGAACUGUGAUCUAUAGACUCCUCUGAAUGAAUCUCUUAUAAGUGGGCUUCUGUCACUGUGGUGGCAUGAGAGCUAAUCUGCAUAAUCUCCCCCGGUUAAAGAAGGAUGCCCGGGAUGCUUUUACAGGGGGAGGGGUGUGACGGGGGUGUUAGGAAUGGUACGGGGGGUUGUGGGGACACACAAUGAGGACUUUGUGCGUCUCCACUGGUACAGGGUUAGACAGGGCCUACAGGACUACUGUGGGAGACACCUGUCAGGAUAGGAGCCUGAGGGAACUGGUACUGAACCCAUGAAGAGGCUUCUUUAAUGAGGCGUUGUGUGGGGGGCGCGGUGGGUGUAUGAGUGUGCGUGUGUGCGAGAGAGAGAGAGAUUGAGUGUGUUUCAGAUCAAAUCAAAGUUUAUUGGUGGCGUACACAGGUUAGCAGAUGUUAUCGCAGGUGCAGCGAAAUGGUUAUGUUUCUAUCUCCAACAAUGCAGCAAUAUCUAGCAAUACAAUAAC
ensembl:lncRNA